rnacentral:rRNA from 1 species
AGAAAUCGCUGCUAAUACCCAAUAUGCCUGAGGGUGAAAUUUUUUAGCCUGGAGAGGAGCUCGCGUCCGAUUAGUUAGUUGGUGGGGUAAAAGCCUACCAAGGCGGCGAUCGGUAGCUGGUCUGAGAGGAUGAGCAGCCACACUGGGACUGAGACACGGCCCAGACUCCUACGGGAGGCAGCAGUGGGGAAUUUUCCGCAAUGGGCGAAAGCCUGACGGAGCAAUACCGCGUGAGGGAGGAAGGCUUUUGGGUUGUAAACCUCUUUUUUCAAGGAAGAAGAAAGUGACGGUACUUGAAGAAUAAGCAUCGGCUAACUCCGUGCCAGCAGUCGCGGUAAUACGGAGGAUGCAAGCGUUAUCCGGAAUCAUUGGGCGUAAAGCGUCCGCAGGUGGCCGAUCAAGUCUGCUGUUAAAGACAGAAGCUCAACUUCUGGCAAGCGGUGGAAACUGGUCAGCUAGAGUACGGUAGGGGUUGAGGGAAUUCCCAGUGUAGCGGUGAAAUGCGUAGAUAUUGGGAAGAACACCAGUGGCGAAGGCGCUCAACUGGGCCGUAACUGACACUCAGGGACGAAAGCUAGGGUAGCGAAAGGGAUUAGAUACCC